UCUCUGGUGGCUGAGUGGUAAAGAAUCUGCCUGCCAAUGCAGGAGAUGCGGGUUCAAUCCCUGCUUCAGGAA
rnacentral:tRNA from 1 species